rnacentral:lncRNA from 1 species
GGCAUAGGAUCAGAUGUCUUAAGUUUGAACUUCAUUGUGAUUUCGAAUUCCGAAGUAUCUAUAUCAAUAACUUCAGCUAUCUUCUCCACCAAUUCGGCAUAUGUUGUCGAUCGUGGUAUCAUUAUCCCUUUAGCCUUUGAACCUUUGAACUUAUACUCGUCAUUUUGCUCAAUCCAUUCACCAUUGAAGAGAAUAGGCACACGUAC